ensembl:lncRNA
CACAACAGGAAUUUAUUCUCUUCCAGUUCCGGAGGUCAGAAGUCUGAAAUGGAGGGGUCAGCAGGGCUGGGCUGUUCCUGCAGACGGUAGGAGAGAAUCUCUCGUUGCCUCUUCCAGCUUCUGGCAGGCCUUCGCUUCCUGGCUGCAAACUCCAGUUUCUGCCUCUGCGGUCACUCUGCCUCCUCUUCCUCUCUCUUCUAAGGAAACUUUUCUUGGUUUUGGGCGGGAUCCUAGGGACCCCCAGAUAAUCCAGGAUGAUCUCCUAGUGAGACCCUUAACUUAUUUACAUCUGCAAAGAUCCUUUUUCCACACAAGCUCCCACUCACGGGUUCUGGGAGUUAGUGCACAUCUUUGGGGGGCCACCAGUCACCUCGCUAUGAAAGGAAUUCAUGUCUGCUCUUCCACUCUGCACAAAUAUUAGUUUUCCAUAUGUUUCUCCAACAAAUUCUGUACUUUGCUGAUGGUCAGGCGUCAUUAAAGUAGUCUCCAAUGGCUGUUUCGGGCUUACCCAAAUACUUUUGUCCUCCCCCCACCACAUCCAAACACACACACACAAAAUAACAUAUCUGCACACAGAUGGUUACACACUGUCCCCAGGUCCUUGUACAGAAAUGUGCGUGUGUGCCGCAGUCCUUCACUUGACACGUAUUUGUUGAGUGCUCACCAUGUGCUAGGCCCUGUGGAGGCACUGGAAACGCUGCAGUGAACGAGGCAGCAAGCCCACGCCUUGUUUACAUUCUGCUGAAAUAUUUACACGCACACACGAUGAUGUAUGUAGAUGCAGAGCCCGCAAGGUUUUUCCAUGCCUGGGGCUCCCAGAAGGACUGAAGUCAGCAAUUCCAGGCCACAGGCAGCAAGGGGAUGUGAAGGCCUUUAAUGCAAAUAAACCAAGUCACCAGGAAAGUCAUUUUUAAAACAACAAAUCCUUGAUUAAGUGAAACCCUUGUGGGCAAGGGUGAACUCCCCACCCGUUUCUGAAAGCGCAAAGCACUGUUAUGGAAGCGCUCGGAGUUCUUGGGUGAGAGAGGAGUCUGAGCAAAGGGACCAGCUGGGCCUUGAACAGCCAGCACAUGCUGGAUUUGAGGUCAGCCCCAAGGACAAGGCGUGCUGGGCCGCCUGGAGGGGAGACAGCGUGACCACAAGAGACAGCCAGGGCUCAGCCGUCAGCUAUGAUCUGCAGGGUAAGAGAAUUUUCUGGGAGAGGUGUGUUUGCUCCACACCUAGUGAUUGAGAAAAAGGAUGCCUCAGAGAACUCAUUCAAGUACCCAAAGCUUCAAAGAAGGGACUUUAAACAUCCAACAAAUCCAAAACCUACGCACAGCAGAAAUGUUCAAAAGCAAGAUGAGGAGAGGCAGUGUUUCAUCUUCAGCCUGGGUCGUGCAAGCCAAGGGUGUCUGUAAUGUCCCUUGGUGGUGGUUCCAGGAUGAAACAGCACACCCAAGAGAGUACCUUCAAGUGGAGGCCAGAUGCAAGACAGACCUGCAGUCCCAAACAUACCAAAGGCUCUUGAGCACAGGUGCCUCAGAACAGAACAUUUAAGAAAACUGCAGGCCUGGACUGUGGGUGAAGACAGCAGAGAACAGAACUAAUCCCCCCUAAACAAGACACUGUUUCCUGCCUUCUUUCCCACUGCUUCUUCUAGUAGCUUCUUAUCCCAUUGUUGCCAAACUUGAUAUGUGCAUGCUAAGUAGCUUCAUUUAUGUCCAACUAUUUGUGACCCCAUGGACUGUAGUCCACCAGGCUCCUCUGUCCAUGGGACUCUCCAGGCAAGAAUACUGGAGUUGGUUACCACGCCCUUCUCCAGGGUAUCCUCCUGACCCAGGGAUCGAAUCCAUGUCUCUUAUGUCUCCUGCAGGUUGACAGGUGGGUUCUUUACGACUAGCACUCUCUGGGAAGCCUGCCCAGCUCCAUAUCAACACACUAUUCUGUAAAUUCAUGGUGGACGCUGGGAUCCCCACAAGGAAAUGAAGAUCCCCAUUCAGGAACGAAGCACAUGUUACCUCAGAGUGACCCUCACUGAGGGUGAGGUAAGUGACCCUCACUUACCCUCACUGAGGGUAAGCCUCAGCCACACUGAGGAUAAGCCUCAGCCACAGUCAAGAAGAGCCUCACUGAGGACAGCCACCCCGAGCAAGGUCACAUCCUCACAUCAGGCAGCCCACGUCUAAGGACUGAUUGUCAUAGGAGGAUAAAGGGCAAGCCCUCUCACUCCCCCUCCCACUUCAAACCAGCUCUGGAGUUUGGUCCCAGCUGCAGCCAGAGGCAGCUCAAGGCUUCCACGGAAACAUCAGCAGAUCCUGCUACCCUUUCUCAUUCCAUCCUGCUCCACAUCAAAGGACUCUCCCAUCAGCAUAAUUCUCCAGUCUCAGAACUGGGAUUGGAAUAAUCCAUCCGAAGCUCUGGGUGAAGCCAAAACUGCAACACAGAAGCUUAGAGCAGAAGUCAGUUCAAGGGGAUACCGAACACAAGAACUGGCCUGGAUGCUGCUUGUGGAGCUCUGCAGAUCCAAGAGCCCAGGAGGGGGUGAGGAGGAAGAGAGAGAGACGCCACUCAGAGUGUAUUGCGCUGCUCAGACUGCUCUUCUGGAAAAUUUAGCCCUACGAAAGCCACCAGCUUUGCAGCUGUAAAUCAAUUUCAGUUAUUCCUCUCUUCCCUGCCUCAAUUCCUCUCUCCUCCUCUCUCUCUUCUUCCCUCCCUCCCUUCUCACCUUUCUUAUCUUUCUUCCCAUUCUUCUAACUUAAUUUUUUCCAAUGAUUAAAAAAGAAAACCUAUUUAUUAUAAGCAUUUUAGAAUGCAAAGUAUUAAUAUGGAAAGAAAACUAUCACUCAGAGAUAAUCACUAGUAAGUAACAUUCUUUAAAAAAUUUUUUUUCACAGAGACCGUUUUUAAAACCUUUAUUGAAUUUGUCACAAUGUUGCUUCUGUUCUAUGAUUUGUUUUUUUGGCCUCGAGGCAUGUGGGAUCUUAGCUCCGCGACCAGGGAUUGAACCUAUAUCCCCUGCAU